GGGGAGGUAGCUCAGUUGGUAGAGCAUUGGUCGCGGUAUAAAGUCUGCACAAAGCCAAAGGUCGCUGGUUCGAUCCCAGCCAUCUCCACCA
rnacentral:tRNA from 1 species